rnacentral:rRNA from 1 species
UACGUAGGGUGCGAGCGUUAAUCGGAAUACUGGGCGUAAAGCGUGCGCAGGCGGUUUUGUAAGUCUGACGUGAAAUCCCCGGGCUCAACCUGGGAAUUGCGUUGGAGACUGCAAGGCUGGAGUCUGGCAGAGGGGGGUAGAAUUCCACGUGUAGCAGUGAAAUGCGUAGAGAUGUGGAGGAACACCGAUGGCGAAGGCAGCCCCCUGGGUCAAGACUGACGCUCAUGCACGAAAGCGUGGGGAGCAAACAGG